rnacentral:sRNA from 1 species
AAAAAAAAAAUACUGAGCCACUUGUGAUUCAAAUACAUGAACAAAAAACAGUUGCUGCUAAGUACAAUAAAAUUUCAACAAUUAUUAUCACCAAGUGAAUUACUAUUCCUAACUCAUGAACCAAGAUAACAUGUUCAACAAAGCAGCAUCUAAACCGCGAAUGACGUGGACCGAAGUUAUUCCACCGGUUCAAGCAAAAGAGUUCGGCCAACUCAAUAACUAUUCCCAAAUCAUGAACCAAGAUAGCAUGUACAACAAAGCAGCAACCAAACCGCAAUUGACGUGGACCUAAGAAAUUUAACUGGUUCAAUCAGAUCUGAUUCAAGCCAAAGAGUUCAGCCAAGUGAAUGGAUAUUCCCAAAUCAUGAACCAAGAUAGCUUUUACAACAAAGCAGGAAGCAACCCGCGAUUGACAUGGAACGAAGUAAUUCAAUCGGUUCAAUCAGAUCUGGUUCAAGCCAAUGUGUUCAGCCAACUCAAUGACUAUUCCCAAAUCAUGAACGAAGAUAACAUGUUCAACAAAGCAGCAAAGAAACCGCGGAUGACAUGGAGUAUUUCUUCUGUAUUUUUUUAAUUUAAUUAUUUUUAUUAAAAUGAUAGGCCUAAUAAUUUAAUCUGUUGAUACUAUUUGUUUCUAAAUUAUUUUAAUCACUUGAAAGGGUUAGAAAAUACUUGAAUUGAGAAAUAGUAUAGGUUAGAAAAUAAUUUAAUCUGUUGAUACUUUUUAAUAGGUUUCAAUCUUUAUUUAAGCAAAAAUAGUAUCAAUCUUUACUUGUUGAUCGUUAUUAUCUUUCGAUAUAUUUGAAUUGAGAAAUAUAGCAUUAACUUAAUUACAUUUAUGUUAAUAUUUUCUAAACAAAUUACAUUACAUUUAAUUAAAGUUCUAGCUUUUUAUAGUUUUAAAUAAAUAUAAAAUUUAAAAAUCAUUUGUAUAAGUUCCCAAUAUAUGAUCUUUAAUCCUAUUAUACAUAUAAAAUAUUAUUAUUUAAAAUU